AACGAACGCUGGCGGCAGGCUUAACACAUGCAAGUCGAACGCCCCGCAAGGGGAGUGGCAGACGGGUGAGUAACGCGUGGGAACAUACCCUUUUCUACGGAAUAGCUCUGGGAAACUGGAAUUAAUACCGUAUACGCCCUACGGGGGAAAGAUUUAUCGGGGAAGGAUUGGCCCGCGUUGGACUAGGUAGUUGGUGGGGUAAAGGCCUACCAAGGCGACGGUCCAUAGCUGGUCUGAGAGGAUGGUCAGCCACAUUGGGACUGAGACACGGCCCAAACUCCUACGGGAGGCAGCAGUGGGGAAUAUUGGACAAUGGGCGCAAGCCUGAUCCAGCCAUGCCGCGUGAGUGAUGAAGGCCUUAGGGUUGUAAAGCUCUUUCACCGAUGAAGAUAAUGACGGUAGUCGGAGAAGAAGCCCCGGCUAACUUCGUGCCAGCCGCCGCGGUAAGAC
rnacentral:rRNA from 1 species